rnacentral:rRNA from 1 species
GGAUGCGAUCAUACCAGCACUAAAGCACCGGAUCCCAUCAGAACUCCGAAGUUAAGCGUGCUUGGGCGAGAGUAGUACUAGGAUGGGUGAGUCCUCGUGUUGCAUUCC